UACGAAGGGGGCUAGCGUUGCUCGGAAUCACUGGGCGUAAAGGGUGCGUAGGCGGGUCUUUAAGUCAGGGGGGAAAUCCUGGAGCUCAACUCCAGAACUGCCUUUGAUACUGAAGAUCUUGAGUCCGGGAGAGGUGAGUGGAACUGCGAGUGUAGAGGUGAAAUUCGUAGAUAUUCGCAAGAACACCAGUGGCGAAGGCGGCUCACUGGCCCGGUACUGACGCUGAGGCACGAAGGCCAGGGGAGCAAACGGG
rnacentral:rRNA from 1 species